rnacentral:rRNA from 1 species
CCAGGACUCCGAGCGCAGUAGUAAAACCCUCGCUUUGGACUGUACUGGCGCGGCCCUGCCGUAAAACCCCCAACUUCUGAAAAUUUGACCUCGGAUCAGGUAGGAAUACCCGCUGAACUUAAGCAUAUCAAUAAAGCGGAGGAA